rfam:Pseudomonas fuscovaginae strain IRRI 6609 Pf_IRRI_6609_contig_17.17, whole genome shotgun sequence.
UUGCGCAAGUCAUGUUUAUUCGAGCAAUGUUCGCAAUCGCCUGCCGCCGCUGUCGGCCUAUUCUUAUCACCAGAAUCACUGCAACACGAAUCACUGCCCGGACAUCGAGUCCACAGCGGUCCGCCGAAUCAGGCGCGCCGCGGCCGGCAAUCCCACAGGGUUGUGCAGGCCCCCGGGCUACACACGGUCCAGAAGACGGUGUGAGGUGAGCCGGCGUCAAAAGCGUCGAGCACGGACGAAAUUCCCCAAAGGGAGGCUGACGAGCCUCCCU